UACGUAGGGGCCAAGCGUUGUCCGGAUUUAUUGGGCGUAAAGAGCUCGUAGGCGGUUGGGUAAGUCGGGUGUGAAAACUCCAGGCUCAACUUGGAGAUGCCACCCGAUACUGCUCUGACUUGAGUUCGGUAGGGGAGUGGGGAAUUCCUGGUGUAGCGGUGAAAUGCGCAGAUAUCAGGAAGAACACCAAUGGCGAAGGCAGCUCUCUGGGACGGUACUGACGCUGAGACGCGAAAGCGUGGGGAGCGAACAGG
rnacentral:rRNA from 1 species